UUUCCGUAGGUGAACCUGCGGAAGGAUCAUUCAUAAUAAAGUGCUUUAUGGCGCUUUUUAAUUAUCCAUAUCCACUUUAUGUGCAAUGUCAGAUCGCGUCAAUUUUGUCGAGAUUUUUAUAUAUAAACACAUUCUUUAACUAAUCUGUAUUAAAAAUAUUAUGAAUACUUAAUUCAAAAUACAACUUUCAACAACGGAUCUCUUGGCUCUC
rnacentral:misc_RNA from 1 species